rnacentral:lncRNA from 9 species
AUGGAGGUUCCCAGACCAGGGGUCUGAUUGGAGCUGCAGCUGCUGGCCUACACCAGAGCCACAGCAGUGCAGGAUCCGAGCUGCGUCUUCGACUUACACCAAAGCUCAAGGCAACACUGGAUCCUUAACCCACUGAGCGAGGCCAGGGAUCGAACCUGAAACCUUAUGGUUCCUAGUCGGAUUUGUUUCCGCUGAGCCACAACAGGAAUUCUAGUGUUUGAAUUAUGCUUAAAAAUACUGUUAAAAAUAUUCUUCUGUGUAUUCUUCUCCCUUUCUCUAAUGUUAACCUGAAUGCUCUUUCUAUUAUUUUGAAUUCUCAAAGCCUUUUAUAGAGUUUAUGUGCUCAUUUUCACCAGAAUAACAAUUUCCUGACAUUUCUUGCUUAAUUAUCACAAGGGAUUAACUUUAAAAAGUUUUACAUUCUGGCAAAUAUGCAGGCUCAUCUCUGAAAGAAAAAAGAUAUUUGUUUCCCAAACAGGAAUCUUAUAUGGGCUUUAAAUUCAUAUACAAGUUUACACAAAAUGUUUUGCACUCAUUUAUGGUAUUUUUUUGCAGGGGAUGGGAACAUUGCAACAUAUGUAUCCUUCUGGAGAGGAAAAGCAUUACCUAUCAGUCUGAAGAGGAGCACUGUUUAAGGAGCCAAAAGGUGUGCUUUUAGAGAUAUCUCUUCCCAGGCAAUGAUUCACACUACCACUUCCUCCACAUUACUCAGAGAGAGAGAGCAAAAAGAGUUUGGGCAGCUGUUGCAUCUGUGACUUUUGCUGAAGUAAGGUGAGUAUUUUCCUUUUUUUUUUUUUUUUUUUGGACAAAAGAGUUAAUAUUUAUUGAUCAACUGUUAUUUGCCAGGUAUGUUCUAAAAGCCAUCAGGUGUAAUAUAUAACUUACUUCUCUCAAUAUUAAUAAUUAGGGAUAAUUACUGAAUCAUCUACAUUCUUUUUUAAAAUAUUAUUUUCCAUCAUGGUCUGUUGCGGAGAUUGGAUAUAGUUCUCUGUGCUACAUACUAGGAAUCUAUUGUCUACUCAUUCUAAAUGUAAUAGUUUGUACCUGUUAACCCCAAGCUCCCAGUCCAUCCCACUUCCUCCCACCUCUCCCUUUGGCAACUGUAAGUCUCUUCUCCUUGUCUCUGCGUCUUUUUCUGUUUUAUAGAUAGAUCAUUUGUGCCAUAUUUUAGAUUCCACAUAUAAAUGAUACCACAUGGUAUUUGUCUUUAUUUUUCUGGCUUAACUUCAGUUAGUAUGAGAAUCUCUAGUUGUACCUAUAUUGCUGCAAAUGGCAUUACUGUUUAGGUCUUCUGCCCAUUUUUUGAUUGGGUUUUUGCUUUUUUUGUUGUUGAAUUGUAUGAGUUGUUUGUAAAUUUUGGAGAUUAAGCCCUUGUUGGUUGCAUCAUAUGCAGCUGUUUCUUCCAUUCCUUAGGUUGUCUCUUUGGUUUUUUUAUUUUUUAUGAAUUCCUUUGCUGUGCAAAAUAUGUAAGAUUGAUUAGGUCCCAUUGAUUGAUUUUUGUUUUUAUUUCUGUUACCUUGGGAGACUGACCUAAGAAAACAUUUGUAUCAGUUUAUAUCAGAGAAUGCUUUGCCUAUGUUCUCUCCUAGGAGUUGUAUGGUGUCAUGUCUUAUGUUUAUAAAGCAAUUUUGAAUUUAUUUUUGUGCAUGGUGUGAGAAUGUGUUCUGGUUUCAUUGAUUUACAUGCAGCUGUCCAGUCUCCCCAACACUACUUGCUGAAGAGACUCUUUUCCCAUUUUAUAUUCUUGCCUCCUUUGUCGAAGAUUAAUUGACCACAGGUGUCUGGGUUCGCUUCUGAGCUCUCUGGUCUCUUCUACUGAUCUGUAUGUCUGUUUUUUGUACAAGUACCACACUGCUUUGAUUACUGUAGCUUUGCAAUACUGUCUGAAGUCUUGAAGAGUUAUGCCUCCUGCUUGUUUUUUUUCCCUCAGAUUGCUUUGGAAAUACUGAGUUUUUUUAUGGUUCCAUAUAAACUUUUGGAUUAUUUGCUCUAGUUCUGUGAAAGUGUUACAGGUAAUUUGAUAGGGAUCUCAUUCAAUCUGUAGAUUGCUUUGGGUGGUUUGGCCAUUGUAACAAUAUUAAUUCUUCUAAUCCAGGAGCAUGGAAUAUCUUUCCAUUUCUUUGAAUCUUCUUUUACCUCCUUGAUUAAUGUUUCAUGCUUUUCAGCAUAUAUGUCUUUCACCUACUUGGUCAGGUUUAUUCCUAGGUGUUUUAUUUGGUUUUGGUGCAUUUUUAAAGAGCAUUGUUUUUUAAUAUUUGUUUUCAAAUAUUUUAUUGUUAG